rnacentral:misc_RNA from 1 species
AAGACUAUAGACCUGCGGAGUACCUGCGGAAGGAUCAUUAUUGAAUUAUGUUUCUAAAUGGGUUGUGGCUGGCUCGUCAGAGCAUGUGCACGCCUGUUUGGACUUCAUUUUCAUCCACCUGUGCACCUAUUGUAGUCUUUGGUUGGGUAUCAAGGAAGUGGUCAGCCUAUCAGCACUUGCUGGAUGUGAGGACUUGCAGUGUGAAAGCUUUGCUGUCCUUUACUUGAUCAUGGAGUUGUU